GUGCUCCCUUUGGCAGCACAUAUACUAAAAUUGGAAAAAUACAGAGGUUAGCAUGGCCCCUGUGCAAGGAUGACAUGCAAAUUCAUGAAGCAUUCCAUAUUUUU